rnacentral:rRNA from 1 species
GCGUCCCAUUAGCUAGUUGGUAGGGUAACGGCCUACCAAGGCAACGAUGGGUACGGGGUCUUAAAGGAUGGACCCGCACACUGGCACUGAGACACGGGCCAGACUCCUACGGGAGGCAGCAGUGAGGAAUAUUGGUCAAUGGGGGGAACCCUGAACCAGCCAUCCCGCGUGCAGGAAGACAGUUCUAUGGAUUGUAAACUGCUUUUCUUGGGGAAGAAUAAUGACGACGUGUCGUCAGAUGACGGUACCCGAGGAAUAAGCAUCGGCUAACUCCGUGCCAGCAGCCGCGGUAAUACGGAGGAUGCAAGCGUUAUCCGGAUUUAUUAGGUUUAAAGGGUGUGUAGGCGGAUGUAUAAGUCAGUGGUGAAAGUCAGCAGCUUAACUGUAGAAUUGCCAUUGAUACUGUAUGUCUUGAGUGUGGUUGAGGUAUGCGGAAUGUGUAAUGUAGCGGUGAAAUGCAUAGAUAUUACACAGAACACCGAUUGCGAAGGCAGCAUGCUAAGCCACAACUGACGCUGAUGCACGAAAGCGUGGGGAUCAAACAGGAUUAGAUACCCUGGUAGUCCACGCUGUAAACGAUGAUUACUAGCUGUUGGCGAUACAAAGUCAGUGGCCAAGCGAAAGCAAUAA